AGACCAUUUGGGUGCCAACAGCAACUGCAGCUCUGGCCCAAGCCAGGUGUGGGCUGACCUAGCCAGGGAGCGGGGAAGUGAAAGGAAUGGGUCCCUUCCCACUCAGAGGGCGGAGCCCCCACUUCUGGUGAGAGAAAGCUGAGCAGAAUGGAUCUAAUCUGAUUCCUCCACCCAGAAGCCCUUAAAAUGCAGCUUUGUUUUAAGCCUUCUUGAAGAUUUGGGCUAGAUCUAGAAAAGAACCUCACCACGGAGGAUGUGCAAAGUACAACACGUGACCCCGGAGACGGAAGCUCUUCUCUACCUCCGUAAAGAUGAUCUCUGAUGAACAGACAUGAUCAUGCCUGGAGAACAGGGAUGGACAGUCCCGCUUCUGAAAGACCCUGUCUGGCUGAUGAUUCAUGGUGCGCCGGGCAGACCCCAGGCCAAGAGACCCCACCCACAGUACCUGAGUGCUCAGCUGGGAACCAGACCAGACCUCAAAACAGGUUCCCAAGGUUACCACCCAACCCUGCCAACUUUCGCACCCCGCAAGGAGCAAGACCCCGCCCGCUCACCACCUGCCUGUGCAGCCAACGGGCCUCGCUGAGCUGCCCUGGGCCGCUCCCUCCAUUCACACAGUUGGCCCUCCCUCUCCCUGCCUCCCUUCGCCUACCCCACGAACUACUUCAUCCCUCUGGGCCGGCACUGUAGAAGCCCCAUUGUUCACAUCGACCUCCCAAUUAUCUCCUCUUUCCCUCUCCCUCUGCUCCUGCCCAGACCAGCCCCCCAGCAUUGACCUGGAUGCCUGCCACAGCCUCCUCCCUGGUCUCCGGCCUCCCACCUCUGCUCCUCGGUCUCCUCUACCCAGCCAGUAACUGCAGAGAGCACUAAAGCACAGUCCUGGCAUCUCACCCCCUUAACCCUGGCCACGGCUUCCCAGUGCCUCCAAGAUAAAGCACCAACACCUGAGGACAGCAGCUUGUUUUGAGAGUCCCCUCCAUUGAAACACGCACAUCUAAUUUGUCCUUCAGUUCGCUGGACUCCACGCUGAACGUGCCAUGCUCCAUUGCCCCGUGAGUAACUCCAUGCUCUUGCCGGUUUCACACGGCCUCUCAGAGCUGGAGCCUUUGUUCAGGAGCCCUGGGCAGCUUUCAGGAAGCUCUUGGGCUCAUCAGCUUCCUCUGGCUGAAGCCGCCCCAGUGGAAUCAUGGGGAUUUCUUACUUUGAAGGUGGGGCCACCCGCAGACUGUAACCGGCUGGUUCAAGAUCAAGGACUUCCCCAGGCCACCUGCCUCAGAGGCAAGAAAGGCUCAGCUGAGUCCCAGACACUCCUCGCUGUGGCCCCUCCUUCCUCCCUGCUGGGCAGGCCCCCCUCAAUUCUGUUUGCCAGCAGGGCCUAGUAACACUGAAAGACGAAAAGGGAAAUAAAAUAAACACAAUUAAUAGGCUAAAGGUUACUGAAUAAAGUGGCAGCAGUAAAUAAAUUGACUACUGUGCAAAUACAAAGACAUGAAGACAUGAAACCCCUGCUCUAAAUGACCACUCACCAAGAGCAAGGCCUGGGCUGGAGGCAGGGAGCACCUCCCUAAGGAGCACUCCCUCUUUCCCGGAGUGAGUCCUCCUUCUAGAUGGAAUUCAGUCCGGGUUCCUCUUGAGCCACAGUCCCUGUUGGGGCCUAUCUCAGUGGACUCAAGAUCCUGAACUUCUUCCAGAUUGCUGACUACACAUUUGAGUCACCCAGAGAUUAAAAGAAAAAACAAAUAAUUUCCCAGUGAUCAGGAGUAAAUCAGCUGGGGCAGGGUUGGUGCUAUGAAUGACCACACUGAUUUGUACACUUCACUGAUUUGUAGUGUUUGCUAUUUCCGUCGUGUAAAUACUGCCAACAUGGACAAUCUUCAGUUGCUAAUGGUUUACUAACUGGCUUGUAAAUGAAUUCAUUCAGUAUUCAAGAAAAUGGCACUACAUUUAGAAA
ensembl:lncRNA LINC00885 long intergenic non-protein coding RNA 885